rnacentral:rRNA from 1 species
CCGGAGAACUGAAACAUCUUAGUACCCGGAGGAAGAGAAAGAAAAUUCGAUUCCCUUAGUAGCGGCGAGCGAAACGGGAAGAGCCCAAACCAACAAGCUUGCUUGUUGGGGUUGUAGGACACUCUAUACGGAGUUACAAAGGACGACAUUAGACGAAUCAUCUGGAAAGAUGAAUCAAAGAAGGUAAUAAUCCUGUAGUCGAAAAUGUUGUCUCUCUUGAGUGGAUCCUGAGUACGACGGAGCACGUGAAAUUCCGUCGGAAUCUGGGAGGACCAUCUCCUAAGGCUAAAUACUCUCUAGUGACCGAUAGUGAACCAGUACCGUGAGGGAAAGGUGAAAAGCACCCCGGAAGGGGAGUGAAAUAGAACCUGAAACCGUGUGCUUACAAGUAGUCAGAGCCCGUUAAUGGGUGAUGGCGUGCCUUUUGUAGAAUGAACCGGCGAGUUACGAUUUGAUGCAAGGUUAAGCAGUAAAUGUGGAGCCGUAGCGAAAGCGAGUCUGAAUAGGGCGUUUAGUAUUUGGUCGUAGACCCGAAACCAGGUGAUCUACCCUUGGUCAGGUUGAAGUUCAGGUAACACUGAAUGGAGGACCGAACCGACUUACGUUGAAAAGUGAGCGGAUGAACUGAGGGUAGCGGAGAAAUUCCAAUCGAACCUGGAGAUAGCUGGUUCUCUCCGAAAUAGCUUUAGGGCUAGCCUCAAGUGAUGAUUAUUGGAGGUAGAGCACUGUUUGGACGAGGGGCCCCUCUCGGGUUACCGAAUUCAGACAAACUCCGAAUGCCAAUUAAUUUAACUUGGGAGUCAGAACAUGGGUGAUAAGGUCCGUGUUCGAAAGGGAAACAGCCCAGACCACCAGCUAAGGUCCCAAAAUAUAUGUUAAGUGGAAAAGGAUGUGGCGUUGCCCAGACAACUAGGAUGUUGGCUUAGAAGCAGCCAUCAUUUAAAGAGUGCGUAAUAGCUCACUAGUCGAGUGACACUGCGCCGAAAAUGUACCGGGGCUAAACAUAUUACCGAAGCUGUGGAUUGUCCUUUGGACAAUGGUAGGAGAGCGUUCUAAGGGCGUUGAAGCAUGAUCGUAAGGACAUGUGGAGCGCUUAGAAGUGAGAAUGCCGGUGUGAGUAGCGAAAGACGGGUGAGAAUCCCGUCCACCGAUUGACUAAGGUUUCCAGAGGAAGGCUCGUCCGCUCUGGGUUAGUCGGGUCCUAAGCUGAGGCCGACAGGCGUAGGCGAUGGAUAACAGGUUGAUAUUCCUGUACCACCUAUAAUCGUUUUAAUCGAUGGGGGGACGCAGUAGGAUAGGCGAAGCGUGCGAUUGGAUUGCACGUCUAAGCAGUAAGGCUGAGUAUUAGGCAAAUCCGGUACUCGUUAAGGCUGAGCUGUGAUGGGGAGAAGACAUUGUGUCUUCGAGUCGUUGAUUUCACACUGCCGAGAAAAGCCUCUAGAUAGAAAAUAGGUGCCCGUACCGCAAACCGACACAGGUAGUCAAGAUGAGAAUUCUAAGGUGAGCGAGCGAACUCUCGUUAAGGAACUCGGCAAAAUGACCCCGUAACUUCGGGAGAAGGGGUGCUCUUUAGGGUUAACGCCCAGAAGAGCCGCAGUGAAUAGGCCCAAGCGACUGUUUAUCAAAAACACAGGUCUCUGCUAAACCGUAAGGUGAUGUAUAGGGGCUGACGCCUGCCCGGUGCUGGAAGGUUAAGAGGAGUGGUUAGCUUCUGCGAAGCUACGAAUCGAAGCCCCAGUAAACGGCGGCCGUAACUAUAACGGUCCUAAGGUAGCGAAAUUCCUUGUCGGGUAAGUUCCGACCCGCACGAAAGGCGUAACGAUUUGGGCACUGUCUCAACGAGAGACUCGGUGAAAUCAUAGUACCUGUGAAGAUGCAGGUUACCCGCGACAGGACGGAAAGACCCCGUGGAGCUUUACUGUAGCCUGAUAUUGAAAUUCGGCACAGCUUGUACAGGAUAGGUAGGAGCCUUUGAAACGUGAGCGCUAGCUUACGUGGAGGCGCUGGUGGGAUACUACCCUAGCUGUGUUGGCUUUCUAACCCGCACCACUUAUCGUGGUGGGAGACAGUGUCAGGCGGGCAGUUUGACUGGGGCGGUCGCCUCCUAAAAGGUAACGGAGGCGCUCAAAGGUUCCCUCAGAAUGGUUGGAAAUCAUUCAUAGAGUGUAAAGGCAUAAGGGAGCUUGACUGCGAGACCUACAAGUCGAGCAGGGUCGAAAGACGGACUUAGUGAUCCGGUGGUUCCGCAUGGAAGGGCCAUCGCUCAACGGAUAAAAGCUACCCCGGGGAUAACAGGCUUAUCUCCCCCAAGAGUUCACAUCGACGGGGAGGUUUGGCACCUCGAUGUCGGCUCAUCGCAUCCUGGGGCUGUAGUCGGUCCCAAGGGUUGGGCUGUUCGCCCAUUAAAGCGGUACGCGAGCUGGGUUCAGAACGUCGUGAGACAGUUCGGUCCCUAUCCGUCGUGGGCGUAGGAAAUUUGAGAGGAGCUGUCCUUAGUACGAGAGGACCGGGAUGGACAUACCUCUGGUGUACCAGUUGUCGUGCCAACGGCAUAGCUGGGUAGCUAUGUGUGGACGGGAUAAGUGCUGAAAGCAUCUAAGCAUGAAGCCCCCCUCAAGAUGAGAUUUCCCAACUUCGGUUAUAAGAUCCCUCAAAGAUGAUGAGGU